rnacentral:rRNA from 1 species
UACGUAGGGUGCGAGCGUUUGUCCGGAAUUAUUGGGCGUAAAGGGCUCGUAGGCGGUCUGUCGCGUCGGGAGUGAAAACUCAGGGCUUAACCCUGAGCCUGCUUCCGAUACGGGCAGACUAGAGGUAUGCAGGGGAGAACGGAAUUCCUGGUGUAGCGGUGAAAUGCGCAGAUAUCAGGAGGAACACCAGUGGCGAAGGCGGUUCUCUGGACAGUUCCUGACGCUGAGGAGCGAAAGCGUGGGGAGCAAACAGG